UAUCUCUGUAGAGUCUGCAUAUCAAUAAGCGGAGGAAAAGAAACUAACAAGGAUUCCCCUAGUAACGGCGAGUGCAGCGGGAAGAGCUCAAAUUUGAAAUCUUCAAGGUUUGACCUUGACGAAUUGUAGUUUAAAGAAGUGUUUUCGGUUAGAGGAGUGGUAAAAGUUCUUUGGAAUAGGACAUCAUAGAGGGUGAGAAUCCCGUAUUUGACCAUUCUUUCUAGCUUUGUGAUACACUUUCAAAGAGUCGGAUUGUUUGGGAAUGCAGUCCAAAAUGGGUGGUAAAUUUCAUCUAAAGCUAAAUAUUGGCGAGAGACCGAUAGCGAACAAGUACCGUGAGGGAAAGAUGAAAAGAACUUUGAAAAGAGAGUUAAACAGUACGUGAAAUUGUCAAAAGGGAAGCGUUUGACACCAGUGUUGUUUUCUCGAAAAUCAAUUAAAAAGUGUUGGAUUUUGUAUUGUUAAGACCUUAUCAGCUUACUGUACUCUUUUCCUGCUCUUUUUAAUGCACUUUUCGUUUAACAAGUCAACAUCAAUUUCUUUUGUUGUAAAAGAGGUCAUUGGAAGGUGGCUUUCACUUUCGGAUGAAAGUGUUUAUAGCCUUUGGCCUCUGCAAUCGGAGAGAUUGAGGUCUGCAGCGUAGAUCCUUCGGGGUUAGAUACGUUAGAUGCUAAGUUAUAGCCUUUUCAUAGACAACUUGUUGACUAUAAUCAAUCAUGUAGCUUACUCGCUUAUGCUAUUUUACCUACGCUUAGGAUGUUGAUCUACAGAGCGAGAGU
rnacentral:rRNA from 1 species